rnacentral:rRNA from 1 species
GACGAACGCUGGCGGCGUGCUUAACACAUGCAAGUCGAACGAAGUGGCGAACGGGUGAGUAAUACGUGGGUAACCUGCCCUCCUUUUUGGGAUAAGCCUUGGAAACGGGGUAUAAUACCGAAUAAAGGGGGAUGGGCUCGCGGCCGAUCAGCUUGUUGGUGGGGUGAUGGCCUACCAAGGCGGUUACGGGUAGCCGGCCUGAGAGGGUGACCGGCCACAUUGGGACGGAGAUACGGCCCAGAGUGCUACGGGAGGCAGCAGUGGGAGAUAGUGCACAAUGGGCGAAAGCCUGAUGCAGGGACGCGGCGUGGGCGAUGAAGGCUUUCGGGUUGUAAACCUCUUUCGAUAUCGAACGGGUAGGUGCAGAAGAAGCGCCGGCUAACUACGUGCCAGCAGCCGCGGUAAUAC